rnacentral:rRNA from 1 species
UACGUAGGUGGCAAGCGUUGUCCGGAUUUACUGGGCGUAAAGGAUGCGUAGGCGGAUAUUUAAGUCAGAUGUGAAAUACCCGGGCUCAACUUGGGUGCUGCAUUUGAAACUGGAUAUCUAGAGUGCGGGAGAGGUAAGUGGAAUUCCUAGUGUAGCGGUGAAAUGCGUAGAGAUUAGGAAGAACACCAGUGGCGAAGGCGACUUACUGGACCGUAACUGACGCUGAGGCAUGAAAGCGUGGGGAGCAAACAGGGAUUAGAUACCCUGA